GAGGGUAUAGCUCAGUGGUAGAGUGCCUGCUCAGCAUGCACGAGGUCCUGGGUUCAAUCCCCAGUGCCUCCA
rfam:Camelus ferus unplaced genomic scaffold scaffold2519, whole genome shotgun sequence.